UACGUAGGGGGCAAGCGUUGUCCGGAUUUAUUGGGCGUAAAGAGCGUGUAGGCGGCCAUGUAGGUCCGUUGUGAAAACUCGAGGCUCAACCUCGAGACGCCGAUGGAAACCAUGUGGCUAGAGUCCGGAAGAGGAGAGUGGAAUUCCUGGUGUAGCGGUGAAAUGCACAGAUAUCAGGAAGAACACCCGUGGCUAAGGCGGCUCUCUAGUACGGUACUGACGCUGAGACGCGAAAGCGUGGGUAGCAAACAGG
rnacentral:rRNA from 1 species